GAUGAACGCUAGCGGCAGGCCUAAUACAUGCAAGUCGGACGGGAUCGGGGAGCUUGCUCCCCGUGAGAGUGGCGCACGGGUGCGUAACACGUAUGUAACCUACCUUUAUCAGGGGGAUAGCCUCUCGAAAGAGAGAUUAACACCGCAUAACAUCACAUGAUAGCAUUAUCGAGUGAUCAAAUAUUCAUGGGAUAAAGAUGGGCAUGCGGGACAUUAGCUAGUUGGCGGGAUAACGGCCCACCAAGGCGACGAUGUCUAGGGGAUCUGAGAGGAUGACCCCCCAAACCGGUGAUGAGACACGGACCAGACUCCGACGGGAGGCAGCAGUAAGGAAGAUUGGUCAAUGGACGCAAGUCUGAACCAGCCAUGUCGCGUGCAGGAGGACGGCCCUACGGGUUGUAAACUGCUUUUGUACCGGAAUAAACCCUUUUACGUGUAAGAGGCUGAAUGUACGGUAAGAAUAAGGAUCGGCUAACUCCGUGCCAGCCGCCGCAGUAA
rnacentral:rRNA from 1 species